AUCAUGCUUAACUUGACUUGAGGGCCAAGAAACGUGAAUUUCCAGCAACUCUAAGGAGGAAAAAGUGCUUAAGGACCACCUGAAAGUUUAACUGAAUUAGGAGCAGCAAAACCAGAUGCAGGACGUGAGGUUUCCCGCUGAGGCAUGCUGGAGACUUCUAUAUUUGCCAAGAUCCUUUGUUCUCGGG